GAUGAACGCUGGCGGCGUGCCUAAUACAUGCAAGUCGAGCGAACAGACGAGGAGCUUGCUCCUUUGACGUUAGCGGCGGACGGGUGAGUAACACGUGGAUAGCCUACCUAUAAGACUGGGAUAACUUCGGGAAACCGGAGCUAAUACCGGAUAACAUGUUGAACCGCAUGGUUCAACAGUGAAAGACGGUUUUGCUGUCACUUAUAGAUGGAUCCGCGCCGCAUUAGCUAGUUGGUAAGGUAACGGCUUACCAAGGCAACGAUGCGUAGCCGACCUGAGAGGGUGAUCGGCCACACUGGAACUGAGACACGGUCCAGACUCCUACGGGAGGCAGCAGUAGGGAAUCUUCCGCAAUGGGCGAAAGCCUGACGGAGCAACGCCGCGUGAGUGAAGAAGGUCUUCGGAUCGUAAAACUCUGUUAUUAGGGAAGAACAAAUGUGUAAGUAACUAUGCACGUCUUGACGGUACCUAAUCAGAAAGCCACGGCUAACUACGUG
rnacentral:rRNA from 1 species